CAGGCCGGAAUCUUCUGCUAGAGCACUUCCGGUCGGCGUUGCCGUCCCGGGUUCCACGCCGGAAGAGGAGGGGUCGGCGUCCUCCCCGCUGCACGUGUGGCGAGCUUCGGCGGCUUCUCCUCAGUGGGCAGGCUGGUUGGAGGUUCUCCGGGCACCCCGGCACCCCGGCACCUGGCUGUCGCAUUCCAUCCUGUAAUGAAGUGCAUCUGACUGCCGUGAGAAGAAGGGUCAAGCUGUUACCGUGGGACCCAAAGACCUCACCUUGUAUCAUCUUAUUAGACUAUCGGGUGUGGCCAGAAACCUUCAGUACUGGCGAACGUAGCUGCAUAACUGGGGAUGACACGGAAAGGGAGAAUCAGCUAUGAGAGAUUUCCAGCCAUGAUGGAAACAAUGUGAGUAGAAAGAUACUUUGUUUAAGAAAAGGAUGAAAUAAUGACUAUCAUAUAAAGAUGAGCAC